rnacentral:rRNA from 1 species
CCCUUAGAUGUUCUGGGCCGCACGCGCGCUACACUGAUGCAUUCAACGAGUUUCUUCCUGGUCCGAGAGGAAUGGGUAACCUUUUGAAAGUGCAUCGUGCUAGGGAUAGACUAUUGCAAUUAUUGGUCUUCAACGAGGAAUUCCUAGUAGACGUAGUUCAUCAGACUGCAUCGAUUACGUCCCUGCCCUUUGUACACACCGCCCGUCGCUCCUACCGAUUGAAUGCUCAGGUGAGCCAUUCGGACUUUCAUCAUGCUGGUUUCCAGUUUUGAUGAAGGAAAGUCUUGCGAACCUUAUCAUUUAGAGGAAGGAGAAGUCGUAACA